rnacentral:rRNA from 1 species
CCUACGGGGGGCUGCAGUGAGGAAUCUUGGUCAAUGGACGAGAGUCUGAACCUGCCAAGUAGCGUGAAGGAUGACUGCCCUUUGGGUUGUAAACUUCUUUUAUAUGGGAAUAAAAUGUUCCACGUGUGGGAUUUUGUAUGUACCAUAUGAACAAGGAUCGGCUAACUCCGUGCCAGCAGCCGCGGUAAUACGGAGGCUCCGAGCGUUAUCCGGAUUUAUUGGGUUUAAAGGGAGCGUAGGUGGAUUGUUAAGUCAGUUGUGAAAGUUUGCGGCUCAACCGUAAAAUUGCAGUUGAAACUGGCAGUCUUGAGUACAGUAGAGGUGAGCGGAAUUCGUGGUGUAGCAGUGAAAUGCUUAGAUAUCGCGAAGAACUCCGAUUGCGAAGGCAGCUCACUGGACUGCAACUGACACUGAGGCUCGAAAGUGAGGGUAUCAAACGGGAUUAGAUACCCUUGUAGUC